UAGAAUAAAUGGACAGGAGCUCAGACGCCAGGGCCAAGACUCCCAAAUCAACCAGGACAUCACAAAAAGACUUGACUGAAGAGGAGGAGUGGAAAGUCACCUUCCUGUCCAGCAAGACUAGCUUCACUAAGGGCAGGAUCUUGAUUCUGAAGACUAAGUACGCCAUCUCCUGGGGCAAGUCCUCUGUCUCUUGGAGCAGAACCACCGUUACCCUGGGAAAGAUCACUGUGACCAUGGGAAAGACCUCCGUGACACGAGACCAGACCACCAGCUCUCUGACCACUCUCACCUUCACCCACGGAGAGAAGUCUGUGUCUGUGGUCAAAUCCAGCCUCACUAGGGGCAGACAAACUACACGGAACAUCUACUGGGAUUUCCACCUGUGAUUAUUGUAUACGGUUACACUCAAAACAGAGGGACUUUUAUCUGCUCAGUUUCAGCAGUGUGUUUCAGAUUCUCUACUGGGUGUGUGCGCACCUGGAGGAUCCCUCCCAUAGGGGAGAUGAGCUCAGCCAGGGGAGGAGAUGCAAGCCCUGUGUCUAUGCGCCAUGCAAUAUCAUGGGAGGAGAUAGUAUUAAUUGACUUAUUUGCUCUGACGGAGAGAUUACAAACGUUAUGACCAAAAUAAUGUGUCACAUCAAGCAAUAUCGAUAGAUGGAAGGGUGUGCCUCACAUCUCAGUGAAGUGAAUGUGAAGGGAAUGAGGAGCCAGGCAGGGUGUCUCAUGGCCAGUGUAUGUGCAUUUGGAAGAGUAGAAAAAUAGAGGUGCUGGGCUGGGAAGAACUGAAGGCAUAAUUCAUAAUAAUGAACAUGAUGAGGGGAAGUGAUAUGAAGGAUAUAGUAUGUCACAGAGACAGUAGAUAUGGUAAUAGGAGAGGAGGUAGGUGGGGAAAGGUUCAAGUGAUAUCUGAACUUGUAUAAUAGUGUAUAUAUACACUAAUGUUAAGUGUUUGGUCCUGCUGGUAACGUUCACAUUGCAAUGCCAAUGAACCUUGCUUAUGUUUAGUAAGGCAGAUGUCAUUUGUGCAAUAAUAUGCUAGAAAUAUGUGAAAACAAGAGGAUAAUUAGGCUGAAAAGAACACCAAUAUUACGAUCCUCAUUUGUUAUUCUAGGAUGGCAGGCUCCGAGUGCUGCUUUAAUGUGCACAAUGAACAAUGGGACAGCAACUUCUGAGUGGAUGAGAAGGGGUUUUAUGAGGAAAAAAGUAGAGCAGUUGAACCCUGAGAGAGAGAGAGAGAGAGAGAGAGGGGUGAAGAGUGGGACCAUUUGUGGUGCUUUGCCAUUGUUUAACACAAGAAAGGACACACUCAGAGUGAAGAACCAUACUGUACAGUCCCUCACAGAAUCCACAUUCAAGUUUCAAAGUACUUUACAAUCGUUGUGAAGCUGGUUCCACUUUAUAUGUCCUCCUCAGGAUAUUGCAACAGAGACAGUAAUGGCACAUUCUCCCCAGCCACACCCAAAACAAUUGAAGGCUUCAACAUUCAAAAUAUGACUUGCUCUUCCUUCUCUUCUCAUCCACUUUUAUUUACAGGGAGCAAGGGUGCAAUAGGGUAGGACCUCCAAAUCUUUAACUAUCUUAUUUAUGUUGUUUUCUUAGGUUCAACGUGUUGGCACCAACAGUGUUCAUCCAGUCAUGGACCUCGUCAUGAGAGCUCUUAGGCCAGAAUAUGCAACAAAGUAAUAUUUCAACUGGCCUGUAACAAGAUUCCCUAGUGAUAGCUGUUUCUCCUGGUUUGGCCUCUUUUCAAUAAGGUAAAAUAGCAGCUAUUGGUACAGUCCGUUUCUCUCAGAUGAACCAAGUACAGAUGACGCUCUGGUCCCGCCAUGUUUUAAAAA